GCAGCACUUACUGAAGAUGUCAUCUCUCUCUGAAAUCGCAUUUCUGGAAGUUGUUGGGAUUAAAAGCUUGCAGAUCCCUCUGAAGCGACUCCAGUUUUGUUCAGGAAAUCGAGACGUCUCAUGCUUCCAGAGCUCUUCUCCAACCCCAAAGAUUGGCCAAUCCAGAGGUUCUUAACUUGAGUGGCCCAGCGCAGUGCCUCAGGGGACUUUUAAACAUCAGGAUGCGGAGAACAUGUUGGACCAGGGAAAUCAGUCACUGGGGAUGAGACUCAGCCAGCAUCAGUAUUUUGUAAAGCUCCCCAGGUAUGAUGGUUGAUUUUAUUUUAUUUUUUUAAUUUUUAUUUUACAUUGGCAUGUCGGGUUUGUUUUUUUUUUCUUUUUCUUUUUUGGGCAGCUCCUGUGGCAUAUGGAAGUUCCCAGGCUAGGGGGUCAAAUCAGAGCUAUAGCUGCCGGCCUACACCACUCACAGCAAUGCCAGAUCCUUAACCCGCUGAGUGAGGCCAGGGAUCGAACCUGCACCCUCGUGGAUACUAGUCAGAUUUGUUUCCAAAUAGCAUGCAGUUGAUUUACAGCGUUGUAUUAACUUCAGCUGUACAGCAAAGUGGUUCAGUUAUAUAUAUACGUAUAUCCAUUUUUUUAUUUCCCAUGUAGGUUCUUACAGACUAUUGGAUAGACCUCCCUGUGCUACGCAAGAGGUCAUUGUUGAUGAUCUAGUUUAUAUAUUGUAGGUGUAUAGGUUAAUCCCAAACCCCUCAGUUGCCCCUCCCCCUCCCCUUCGGU
rnacentral:lncRNA from 1 species